CUCUCUGGGUCUCUCUAUGGGUCUCUAUGGGUCUCUCUAUGGGUCUCUAUGGGUCUCUAUGGGUCUCUCUAUGGGUCUCUAUGGGUCUCUAUGGGUCUCUAUGGGUCUCUCUAUGGGUCUCUAUGGGGUCUCUAUGGGGUCUCUAUGGGGUCUCUAUGGGGUCUCUCUGGGUCUCUCUAUGGGGUCUCUAUGGGUCUCUAUGGGUCUCUAUGGGUCUCUCUAUGGGUCUCUCUAUGGGUCUCUAUGGGUCUCUCUGUGGGGCUCUCUGUGGGUCUCUCUGGGUCUCUGUGGGUCUCUCUGUGGGUCUCUAUGGGUCUCUAUGGGUCACUCUAUGGGUCUCUCUAUGGGUCUCUAUGGGUCUCUAUGGGUCUCUCUGUGGGGCUCUCUGUGGGUCUCUCUGGGUCUCUCUGGGUCUCUAUGGGGUCUCUAUGGGUCUCUAUGCGUCUCUAUGCGUCUCUGUGGGUCUCUCUAUGGGUCUCUCUGGGCCCUUAUGUGUCCCUACUAUGGGUCUGGGACCCCCAAGUGUGGGGCUGGGCACCUAAGCGAGGGACUAGCUCCCCAAGUGUGGGUCAGGGACCCACAAGUGUGGGUCUCAGACCCCUGUCUCUGUGUCCGAGGCCACCACUGUAGCUCCA
rnacentral:lncRNA from 1 species